UUUCCUACGGGGCGCAGCAGUGAGGAAUAUUGGUCAAUGGGCGGAAGCCUGAACCAGCCAAGUCGCGUGAGGGAAUAAGGCCCUACGGGUCGUAAACCUCUUUUGCCGGGGAGCAAGGGCCGGGACGCGUCCCGGCCCGGAGAGUACCCGGAGAAAAAGCAUCGGCUAACUCCGUGCCAGCAGCCGCGGUAAUACGGAGGAUGCGAGCGUUAUCCGGAUUUAUUGGGGUUAAAGGGUGCGUAGGCGGGCUUUUAAGUCUGCGGUUAAAAUUCGGUGC
rnacentral:rRNA from 1 species